AAUUUUGCGCAAUGGGGGAAACCCUGACGCAGCAACACCGCGUGAAUGUUAAGCCCUUCGGGGUGUAAAGUUCUGUCAGUGGGGAAGAAUUUUGACUGUACCCACAAAGGAAGCACCGGCUAACUCCGUGCCAGCAGCCGCGGUAAUACGGGGGGUGCAAGCGUUGUCCGGAAUCAUUGGGCGUAAAGCGUUCGUAGGCGGCAUGUCAAGUCUGGUGUUAAAGCCCGGGGCUCAACUCCGGUUCUGCAUCGGAUACUGGCAAGCUAGAAUGUGGUAGAGGUAAAGGGAAUUCCUGGUGUAGCGGUGAAAUGCGUAGAUAUCAGGAGGAACAUCGGUGGCGAAAGCGCUUUACUGGGCCAUUAUUGACGCUGAGGAACGAAAGCCGGGGGAGCAAAUGGG
rnacentral:rRNA from 1 species